rnacentral:rRNA from 2 species
GUCUGCGUGGAGCCGACCUUGAAAUACCACCCUUUAAUGUUUGAUGUUCUAACGUGGACCCGUUACCCGGGUUGCGGACAGUGUCUGGUGGGUAGUUUGACUGGGGCGGUCUCCUCCUAAAGAGUAACGGAGGAGCACGAAGGUUGGCUAAUCCUGGUCGGACAUCAGGAGGUUAGUGCAAUGGCAUAAGCCAGCUUGACUGCGAGCGUGACGGCGCGAGCAGGUGCGAAAGCAGGUCAUAGUGAUCCGGUGGUUCUGAAUGGAAGGGCCAUCGCUCAACGGAUAAAAGGUACUCCGGGGAUAACAGGCUGAUACCGCCCAAGAGUUCAUAUCGACGGCGGUGUUUGGCACCUCGAUGUCGGCUCAUCACAUCCUGGGGCUGAAGUAGGUCCCAAGGGUAUGGCUGUUCGCCAUUUAAAGUGGUACGCGAGCUGGGUUUAGAACGUCGUGAGACAGUUCGGUCCCUAUCUGCCGUGGGCGCUGGAGAACUGAGGGGGGCUGCUCCUAGUACGAGAGGACCGGAGUGGACGCAUCACUGGUGUUCGGGUUGUCAUGCCAAUGGCACUGCCCGGUAGCUAAAUGCGGAAGAGAUAAGUGCUGAAAGCAUCUAAGCACGAAACUUGCCCCGAGAUGAGUUCUCCCUGAGACUUAGAGUCUCCUGAAGGAACGUUGAAGACGACGACGUUGAUAGGCCGGGUGUGUAAGCGCAGCGAUGCGUUGAGCUAACCGGUACUAAUGAACCGUGAGGCUUAACCUUACAACGCCGAAG